CCAAACUUGGUCAUUUAGAGGAAGUAAAAGUCGUAACAAGGUUUCCGUAGGUGAACCUGCGGAAGGAUCAUUACCGAGUACCGGGUGCCUCUGGCCCCUACUCCCACCCCAUGUCGACUUGAAUAAACCGUUGCUUUGGCGGGCCGACCCGCGCGGUCGCCGGGCCCUCUGCCUGGAGAGCGCCCGCCAGAGGUCCUUUCUAGAAACCCUUGUCAAACCGGUGGAUCUGAGCAGACGUAAAUGAAUUAAAACUUUCAACAACGGAUCUCUUGGUUCUGGCAUCGAUGAAGAACGCAGC
rnacentral:misc_RNA from 1 species